AGAGUUUGAUCCUGGCUCAGAAUCAACGCUGGCGGCGCGCCUAACACAUGCAAGUCGCACGAGAAAGGCUCCUUCGGGGGCCGAGUACAGUGGCGCACGGGUGAGUAACACGUGGAUACCUGCCCUCAAGUGGGGAAUAACUUUGGGAAACCGGGGCUAAUACCGCAUACGUUCGAGAGAAGAAAGCAGCAAUGCGCUUGAGGAGGGGUCCGCGGCUGAUUAGCUAGUUGGUGGGGUAAAAGCCUACCAAGGCGAAGAUCAGUAGCCGGCCUGAGAGGGCACACGGCCACACUGGCACUGAGACACGGGCCAGACUCCUACGGGAGGCAGCAGUGGGGAAUCUUGCACAAUGGAGGAAACUCUGAUGCAGCGACGCCGCGUGAGCGAAGAGGCCUUUCGGGGUGUAAAGCUCUUACGCCAGGGACGAUAAAUGAC
rnacentral:rRNA from 1 species